CUGGGCUCCGCGGCCUCCCCUUGCACCGGACGUGGACCCAGGCUGCCGUUGGGCAAGAUAGAGGACUGAGCCAAGGCACAAACGGCUGGCCAGGGAAACUGCUCCCUGGGCGCCUGGAGGUCCAUAUUGAGAGCGUCCUGCCAGCCAUGAGAGAUCACCUUCCCCUGAUGCAGAGGCAGACCUCUCCCCCUUGAGGCCCAGUGGACACCUGGCUCAGGUCCCAACUGUGUGCCCUGGACACACAGAGCCCCAGAUCUCUGGCACAGACUGGGGUGUGGUUGUGUCGGGGCAGAAAAGGCCCAGAAAAGGCUGGUGAGCCUCUGGUCCGGUACCAGGCAAGUGAUUGGAGUCCCUUUCCAGUUUGGAAACAUCUGGGCAGGCCCAGCUGAUAAGGUUACUUUUCUACUUUGAACAAGCAAACAAGCCAACAGAAGAGAAGUUUCACAAGCAACUCCCAGCACAUCCGCUCACCUAGUGUUGUCUGUGACCUCACUCUCGGUGCCCCACCUCUUAUUACAGAUUGAACAGGGUCCAGGGGGAAGGACCAAGCCUGUCCCAUCGGCCAUCCUAUGUGUCAUGUCCUGGGACCCAGUGGAUGCUCAGCACCUGAAGAAGAUUGUCUUAGACACAUGGAAGCUGAGGACGCCUACUGUCCCCUCGGAACCCAGGUGGGGCUGGGAGUCUGCUGUUUGUAUAGCCGGUGGGCUCGUGUUGCUUUGGGCAUCCCUGUGUCUGAAUUCCUGCAGUACACUCGGUGGUUUUACCUGAACCACCAGCUUCUGCAUCUCUGAAGACAGAUGAUGAGGACCCUUCACGUAAGCCGUUCGCACAGCCCUGUGCAGGCCUUUGUGCUGCACGUUCUGCCCGGCGAGAUAACUGAGUGCAUUCCAUGGUGCAUCCUCGCCUAGAAUUGAGUGGAAGCAAGUCCAUCUCAGAAGGGACAUAACUGAAGAGGGAUGGCUUUCCAGACUCUGAUGGGCAGCGAGAGCUGCAGCCUGGCCCUGUGUAAAACAUGAAGCGUGGACGGCCUGUUGAGCACAGCUCUGCCCUCAAGACCUGUUUCAACUCCUCUCUUCCCGGAAAACAGCAUCUCUGAGCCCGCCCUUGGUGACCUCAGAGAGAUCACCCUAGUGGCCCAGGCUAGUGACCGGGAACAUGUACCUUCCUGCAGCCAACCCCAGACGUCCACUGAUGCAUCAUAUACUGGCAAAGAUCCUGGCCUAGGGGGGCCUUGGCCGCUGGAGAUUCGCCAGAUGUUGGACUCCAGGUAAGCUUGCUCCUGGGAGGUGGGGCGGUUAGGUCAGGGGGCAGCGGCAGCGACAGGGGGGCGGAGCGCGGCUGCCUCUGGCGAACUGUUGGAAUAGCUGCCUUCUCCCGGCUGCCGGGCCUGGGAGCGGCCUCUGCUGCCCCUGGUCACCGUACACGCCUGUCCCGCUCAGCUUGCUGAGUGGGGACGGUGCCAUUAAUGUGCGGGGCCCACGGGGUUAGGGGGGCUGCCGCGCGGAAGCCGGUCAGUUCGCUCAGCUCUCCCCCGCGGCGGAGCCAGUGGCAGCUUCUGCUGCCGUAGAGGCGGGACGCCGGUCUCCAGGUGAGCUUGCCCCUGGGAGGCGGCGGCGGCGGCUGCAGGGGGAGGGGGUCCGUUCCAGGGAGCUGCUCCAUUUCUUCUGUCCCGCGCGGCCUGGCCUGAGGGCGACCUCUGCCGCCGGAGAUUUGCCUGCGGUCCGACUCCAGGUGAGGUUGCACCUGGGAGAUGGGUGCGGUGCAGUCAGGGGGCUGGUAAGGUGGUGGCUGCGGGGAUAGGGAGGCUGCCCCGGGGGAGCUUGUGUAUUAGCUCCCAUGUCUGUGCCGCGUGGCCUGCAGGCGGCCUCUGCUGCGCCAGGUCCCCGGACACCCCUGUCCCACUUUGCCUGCUGGGGGCGGGAGGCAGGGUAGUCAGGGUACACGGGUGGCGGGGGU